UUUAAUUUUUUUUAAUGUAUAAGAAAAACAAAUCUAAAAAAACUAAAAACUAAAUAAAAUUAUCUGAAAAUGGAAUUAUGCAAAUUUAUAAAACUUGAGGUAUGAAAUAUAUAAAAUUUGAAAACUAACUUAUCAAAAGAAUUGAACUUCUAAAUAAAUAUGAAGGGUCAAAAUGUCAAUUUAAAAAUGAAUUACAUAAAAAAAACUCAAAUGUAAUGGAAAAGAAUCGAAGUUGAGUGCAUAGGAAGGAGAUACAAUUUCUUACCAAUUGAACUACAAAUGUCUUUUAAAUAAGCUAUAUCCAAAUAAUCUUUUAUUUGUGCAAGAAAAAAAAGACAUGAAAAUUUGAGGGUGGGCCUUGGCCAACUCUGGCCCUAAGGUGGCUCCGCCAAUGAACGCAACAGCUAUCAACACAGGAGGAGAUGGGAAGGAUUCAAUGGUUUUUCUGCUGUGAAUUUGACAGGAAGGAAGAAUCCAUUUGUUCUUGGCUGGGAAUGAAGAUGCAAGCAAUACAAAGGAUCGACCAAUUUUUACUACAAAGGGUUUAAUUGUUGUUUGAUUGUUUGUGAAUUAAUAGUUGAUGAGUAAAAGCAAUACCACACAGUGUUUUCCACAUACCUGUGUGUGAGCUGUAGUCAGGUGAAAGAAAGACGUGGGGAGAAAAGAAAAUAGUCAAGUGCAAGAAUUCAUUUCCUUUUUUAGUGUUUCUUUGUAUAAAAUGAAACUUGGAAGAAAUCAUUAUCUUGGCUGUCAAA